AAAAGGUCUUUGGGUUUUAACUGUACCUUCCCCUAAAGCUCCGUUGUUGCACUCAGGUCCUUCGGGUCCAUUGAAAGACACUUUACAGGAGUAUCUUAAAGUACUCACGUGCGCAUUGAAGAAUGCCCAUUUCAGUGCCCUCAGUGCUCAACAUGCUGGAGAUCUUAAAAACACUAUAUUCAAUGUAAAGGCUAAAAACCCCGUACAAGUGGGGGAUGAGGUAAUGAUACAAAAAAUAGGGAACUUAGGACCAAUGUCCUCCAGGUAUGAGGGUCCUUAUUUGGUGUUGUUGACUACUCCAACAUCUCUUCUUGUUGAAAUCGAGCCAGGGCUGACUCGAUGGAUGCAUCUUGCACAAGUGAAGCCUCUGUCGCCGCUUGCUGAUACUAACUCUCUUUCUAAUGUGAUUUAGUCCAACAGGUGCAGUAUUUUAUAUCCAAGGAAUGGCUGCUAAGGAAGAACAAUGACUAAUUGUUUCCUCUCUUUAGGUUCUCAACUAUGAUUCCAUCCGGACCUGUUGUGUUAAUAAUAAUAAUAAAAAAAAUAUAUAUAUAUAUAUAUAAAAAGAGAGACUGAAAACCAUGGUGUUUAUGUUUGUGUGUAUUGGUGUUGUCCUGUUUGGUUGUCUAUGUGUCGUUGUGUGUGUUGUGUUUUUGUUUUUAUCCCAAAAUUUCUGCUCCUACUAUUCUUUAUCUCUAAAAGGUACGAGUGCAUGCUGUCACAGAAAUAUUCUGCGACUGGUUCUAAGGGUGACUCUUUGAUGUGACUUCUGCAACAGUGCAGCUCAUUGACAUUCUGGGAGUGGUUGCUGUGCUCAUGGCUGGACAUCAGUACCUGUGCUAAAAUCUACCAGCUGAUAGAUAUAUAUAGAUUUACAAAUUCCUACAUUAAGAUGCCUUAAAAGAUUGUUGAUCAAAGAGAUUCUUAUUCUCCCAUUUAUACCAGUAGUGAUGAGGAAAUCUAUACCUUGCAGGUGAAGGGUAAGGAAAGGUAUGAGAUGUUGAAAACGAUCAACGAAAGUUUGGAAAUUAACGACAUGGUACCAUAAGGACAAAUAUCUUCAGCUACUAUCUCCUAAGGGCAAGAAGAGAAAGAACGAUGAUAGAGUUUAGAGUUGGGAAAGAUGGAAGGCUGUGGUAAGUCCUCAACCCAGCAAAAGUCCAGGGGACGCCAGGGGUCGAAUUUCCUUAGGAGUUCUCGUCUGGCCAUCUUGGUGAAGAUCUUUGUUAAUUUUAAGGUAGCUGGGGUUAGAGAGGUAUCUACAGUACUAUCUAUCUGAAAUUGUUUUAUUGAUUUUCUAUAUUUUCAUGUAUGCAUCAUUUAUUUUUCUUUUGAAUUACUCUGUAUUUUUGGUUUUGAUUUAAGGAAAAGGUUGUGGCGAGUCUUUUGAUAAGACUCGAGUGGGGGAUUGGUGUGUGGAGAUUCUAAGAAAUCCACAUGGUGAUAGAGAUUCUGAGAAGAAGUCCAUGUAUUUAAAUUAAACCCAAGUGUUGUUGAGAGAUUCUGAGAAGUCACGUACUCAAAAUGUGUUCUAUUCAUAAUGAUAAGUUUUAUUUCAAAAGUUAAAAAUUAAUAUUUCAUGGUAAGGAUCUGUCUCAUAUAUAUAUUAACAGGUUUCAUUUUUAUAUUCAAAAAUGUUUUUGGUAAACUUUAUGGUAUAUUUCAUAUGUAAUUUCACAGUAUUUCUAACUGCGUAGUCAGCUGAGUCUGUUUUGCAUAUGAAGUUGAACUGCACGUAUUGUUCUUUUAAAUCAAUAUUUCUUAGAAUUAUCAGUAUGAUACUUUGAAUCUAAAAGAGGAAGAAGUCCAAAAUCGAGACAUUGACUAGACUAUUUUUAAAGGUUAGGUGUUAUUAGUGAUAGCCAGAUGACGACUUAUGUCUAGAACAACAGUAUAUAAGAUAGACUCUGCAAAAUAGAAUAGGGUUUGACUUUCUGAGACUCUGGUCUCUCUAUCUUUUCAGCUCACUUCCUCUUCUUUGGCUUCACUCGACAACUCCUCUUAGACUCAGACUUAGAACUCUUACAGGUUUUUAUUCAAAUUCAGAUACCUUGAAAUUCAGAUACUUUGAUACUCUGAUACUUU
ensembl:lncRNA